rnacentral:tRNA from 1 species
GGGCCCGUCGUCUAGUGGCUAGGAUAGACGCAUUAUCAAGCGUACCCUAAAACUCCCCUGACGCGGGAGUGGUCCGGGGUUCAAAUCCCCGCGGGCCCA